GGGGUUCCUGGUGCCUAAAGAAGUGUCAAAGGAACUGUAAUCUAGCAUCGAAGAAUCUCUGGGGACAAGCCAUGUGGGUGUGAAUCACGCUGCGCCCUUACUGGCUAGCGUGACCCAACUUCUCCAUUCUUAUAUGUGCUUAUAAAUGUAAGCACCCCCAAAACGUGGGGGCUGCGUGUGAUGAGAGAGGGGGAACAAAGCCUCCGCAGACUUUAUCACCACGCACUGGACCUAAAGGCCCUGGGAAGGCACAGGAGGGUGUCAGGUACGGGGGGACCGUGUGGAGAUGUGUGUGGAGAAUAAUGUGGCUGGAGGACAGUGAUCAGGGAGAGGCUCGUCACCAUGAGACAGGUCAGAGGUGAUGGUGGCCAACCUGCCAGAGGGAUGAUAGAAGACCUGUUAAGAUGCUGAAAUAGGCAGGACUUGGAGAUGAGGAAACGUCCCAUUUCUGGGCUCAAUGAACUGGGUGGUCUGUGUGCAGUUAGGGAGCCCCCUGUGCACCCAGCCCCCCCACUAGGUCUUUCCUUUGUGCUGUGGAUCCAGGCCUGGUGACAGGCUUGCUCAGAGUGGGCCUUUUGACACUGACUCCCUGCCUCCAUCCCCCCACACCCACGCUCUUCCUGACAACGGUUUGAGCACUUGGUUUGAGCACUCCUUGGCUGAAGGUGUGAAGGCCCCGUCCAGGUAGGUUCACUGCCUGUCACUGGAAUGUGUCAUACAGGUUCCCAGCUCCAGGCCGUGGCCCACGCCUCCCCCUUUCCUCCCUGCCUUCAGUCCAUCCUCUACAGACACACUCCAGGCCUCGCCUCUCCCUUCCCUCCCUG